GACGAACGCUGGCGGCGUGCUUAACACAUGCAAGUCGAACGGAAAGGCCCUGCUUUUGUGGGGUGCUCGAGUGGCGAACGGGUGAGUAACACGUGAGUAACCUGCCCUUGACUUUGGGAUAACUUCAGGAAACUGGGGCUAAUACCGGAUAGGAGCUCCUGCUGCAUGGUGGGGGUUGGAAAGUUUCGGCGGUUGGGGAUGGACUCGCGGCUUAUCAGCUUGUUGGUGGGGUAGUGGCUUACCAAGGCUUUGACGGGUAGCCGGCCUGGGAGGGUGACCGGACACAUUGGGACUGAGAUACGGCCCAGAAUCCUACGGGAGGCAGCAGGGGGGAAUAUUGCACAAUGGGCGGAAGCCUGAUGCAGCAACGCCGCGUGCGGGAUGACGGCCUUCGGGUUGUAAACCGCUUUCGCCUGUGACGAAGCGUGAGUGACGGUAAUGGGUAAAGAAGCACCGGCUAACUACGUG
rnacentral:rRNA from 1 species